ACGGAGGAUGCGAGCGUUAUCCGGAUUUAUUGGGUUUAAAGGGUGCGUAGGCGGAUAGAUAAGUCAGUGGUGAAAACCUGCAGCUUAACUGUAGACUUGCCGUUAAUACUGUCAGUCUUGAGUAUGGUCAAGGUAGGUGGAAUGCGUAAUGUAGCGGUGAAAUGCUUAGAUAUGACGCAGAACACCGAUCGCGAAGGCAGCAGCCUAGGCUAUAACUGACGCUAAAGUGCGAAAGCGUAGGGAUCUAGCAG
rnacentral:rRNA from 1 species